GAUCUACCUGCCUCUGUUUCCCAAGUACUGGGUUUAAAGGUGCCAUGUCAUUACACCCAGCUCAUGAAAUCUUUUAAAUUGUAAAAAUUGAAUAUAUAGGGUCUGGAGAGACAUCUCAGUGGUCAAAAGCACUUACUACUCUUUCAGAUAACCCAGAUUUGGUCCCCAACACCCAUAUCCGGUGGCUCAUGCCUGCCUUUAGCUCUGGUUCCAGGGGAUCUGAUGCCCCCUCCUGGCCACCUGCAGCACCAGCACAUAGGUGGGGCACAUAAACUUCUGCAGGCACACACCUAAACAUAAGAAAUAAACAAAUCUUUUAUUUUUAGAAAAUGACUUCAGGGGCUGACGAGAUGGCUCAGGGACUCUGAGAGGGUGUACUGCUCUCUGUACUGAUGUGCACCCACCCACACCGAUCUUCCUGGUCGUUGGAGUUUCCCAUGGUUCUGAUGACCUAGGCCAUAUCACCAGAACGCAACAUGAGGACGUGGAAGUAUAAGGAACCUUCUGAGAGGCUCUUGCACACAUGUCUACUGCACCUCACAGCACUGGCAUCACUGCUCCCCGUCACAGAGACCACUAACUCUUCUCUUGGUUCAAGGGUGAGAUGGUUUAACAUUGUCCAUGACAGGAUCCGGAGUCACCGAGAAGACAAACCUCUGGACAUGUCUGUUAGGGCGUUUCCAGGUUGGGUUAUUCAAAGUGAGAAGAUGCCACCUAAAUGUCACAGGCAGCAUUUCAUGGGCUGGGGUCCCAGACAGAAACAAAAUGAAAUGCAGAAGACGAGUGGAACACCAGCAUCCAUCUCUCUGCUUGCUGGCUGUUGUCUCGGUGUGAGCAGUGGCCUCAUGCUCCUGCUUCUACGCCGUCCCCACCAUGAUGGAUGGUACCUGAACCAUAAGCCAAAAUAAACCCUUCCUCCGUAA
rnacentral:lncRNA from 1 species